rnacentral:lncRNA from 1 species
UUUGAACGGCGAAGAUUUUCACUAUAAAAAAGGCCCAUUUUUCACAGCGAGUUCGGCCAUUACGGCGUUCCACCAAUUUGACGCGCUGGAUGUCGAGUCAUCAUCUUUUAACUCUUUACCCCAACAAGUGGACCCCCCAACGGAAUCUAACGGACGUCAGCUGACCCCACUCCAACUAUUUUUUCACUUCACCUCUAAACCAGAAAACUCUAUAAAUAACGUUUGAAGAUUACCAUGCCUAGGCUUGAAGAGGCAAAGCAUCUUCUAAGCACUCUUCACUUCUUCUCUGAGAUUCUCCUUUGAUCUCAAUACCAAACACCACUAAAAAAAAAGCAUGGCCGGACCUUCUCUUGACACCAUCACUAAUCGUCACCACGCUAAGCCACCCUCCCCCUCUUCCUCCGCCACCACAACAAUCAAGUUCCUCUGUAGCUACGGCGGCAAGAUCAUUCCCCGUUAUCCUGACGGAAAGCUCCGUUAUCAAGGUGGUGACACACGCGNNNN